AGCAAGGAAAGAAAACGUCUUCUUGAAACUUGGCUGAAUACUGAAUGAGCUUUAAUCACUGAGAUACAGAAGACAAUUACUGAGGUUAUGGUUACACACAAAAUUGCAGUGAUUGAAAUGAAGAUUGGAAACUGAUAGAAUUGUUCAAGCCUAUAUCUGUGUUAAAUCAGGUUCCACAUGCCCUUCUUCAUAGGUAAGAGGUAACAGUCUUGAUUGUUACACGGUUUUCACACCACUCCACGUGACAUUCUCCUUAGCAAACAAAGAAAACACGGUUAAGAUGAAAUCCUCAAAAAUAGGUGCAUGACUCAUUACAAAGAUACCUUUAGAAACAUUUAUCAAUUGUUCCUUGUUGUACUGAGAAGAAUUUUCAACCGGGCCCUCCCAACAUCUGUGUGGAUCCAUUUGAUGCAGUAUUUUCAUUAACAACCUGUGACGAGGGAAUAAAGAGUACUCAUAAAAUCUGCAGACAUCAUCUAGCUGGGAGAGGAUGCAAACAGUUUGGCGGAUGGACUGAGAAUUCAAAAUGAUCUCGCUAAAUUGGAGAAAAUCAACGACUCAGUAAAGAAAAGUACAAAGUGCUACACUUAAGAGAAGGAAAUCAAAAGCACAAAGAGAAAAUGGGGAAUAAAUGGCCAGACAGCAGCACGGCAGAAAGGCAGCUCGGGGUGUGAGCCACGGACUGAAUAGGAGUCAACAGUAUGACGCUGUUCCAAAAAAAGGCAAAGCUAAUGCUGGUCGUUGGGUGUGAGACACAUCAGGUAGCUGUUUUGCUCCUCCUCACACAGGAGGGCUGUACACAAACCAAAGAUUUCAGAGCUGAGCAACAAAUCUGAGAAGAGGUUUUGAAAGCAUAUCCUGUGAAGAAAGAUUCAGAAUUGUUUAAGAAAGGUGAGGCUGCAGAAUAGUACGGUCAUUGUUGGCUUAUCAAAACGAAAUGUUUUCACUGACCACUGGGAGCAGGACAAGACGACGUUUCUGCUUCACAUCAAAGACUGUAGUAAUGAAAACCGUUGCCAUUUACAGUGUCGUUCAACGCGUUGUGACAAACUUCAUCAGGGAUACUGUAGGUUUGCUCAGGCCUGCCAGUGGAAAGCUUUUAUUUUCAAGCUCUGUUUAGAUUUCAUUUUAAAAGAGUAGGCGGUUUUGCAAAAGAUAGCUGCUCGAUACGAUUCGGAACGCGACUCAAAAGACUACAGAAGUGGAAAGAGUGAAUUCCUCGUUUAUCCCAUCCUCCUGCACUGCAGCCCUAGGCUCCUGCGGGGAACAGAUGACACGACACCAUCAACAUAAUGGUGCACAGCGAGCAGGAGUGCUUCUCACUGCAUGGCCACGUUGCUGUCAGAGCACUGGAGGUGUACCGGAGCCAGCUGCCAGCGAGGAGCUCCUACUGCUACGGCCAUGGCUACUGGGGCCUAGUGCCCAGGCCCUUCCCCGGCCCCUCAGCAAGCCUGUAGCUGCUCUUGCUACACCUGUUAGUACCCAGGCCGUCAACUAAAACUAGCUCUGCGCUGCAAACCACUGCUACACCUGAGAUAGCGACAGCUUUCCCAGGGAACAAAUGCAAAGCCUCCCGGAGAGCUAAUUGGUAUCCUCGGUUAUCUGUUCCUUCAAGGUUUUCUUCCACGCUUACAUCUGCUUCUGCAUCCAGCAGUGUUUGGGUACCACCCGGGGCAGCUUUACUCAGCUGGCUUCUGUUGUUUUUGAUCUUUAAAUACAAGGGGGAAGUUCAUACAAUCGCAGAAGCACAGACGGGCUCGGGUUGGAGAGACCUUAAAGCCCACGCAGUCCCACCCCAAUCCACGGGCAGGGCUGCCCCCCACCAGCUCAGCUGCCCAGGGCCCCAGCCCACCCGGCCUUGAGCACCUGCAGGGAUGGGGCACCACGGCUCUCUGGGCAGCUGUGCCAGCCUCUGGAGAACCUUUUCCUAACACCCCACCUGACCCUUCCCUGGCGCGUCUCCAUGCCAUUCCCUCGGGUCUUGCCACUGUCACCACAGGGAAGAGACCCCCGCCCAGACCCGAUCCGCG
ensembl:lncRNA